rnacentral:rRNA from 1 species
ACUCCUACGGGGAGGCAGCAGUAGGGAAUCUUCCACAAUGGGCGCAAGCCUGAUGGAGCAACACCGCGUGAGUGAAGAAGGGUUUCGGCUCGUAAAGCUCUGUUGUUAAAGAAGAACACGUAUGAGAGUAACUGUUCAUACGUUGACGGUAUUUAACCAGAAAGUCACGGCUAACUACGUGCCAGCAGCCGCGGUAAUACGUAGGUGGCAAGCGUUAUCCGGAUUUAUUGGGCGUAAAGAGAGUGCAGGCGGUUUUCUAAGUCUGAUGUGAAAGCCUUCGGCUUAACCGGAGAAGUGCAUCGGAAACUGGAUAACUUGAGUGCAGAAGAGGUAGUGGAACUCCAUGUGUAGCGGUGGAAUGCGUAGAUAUAUGGAAGAACACCAGUGGCGAAGGCGGCUACCUGGUCUGCAACUGACGCUGAGACUCGAAAGCAUGGGU